rnacentral:tRNA from 1 species
GUUCGUAUAGCUCAGUUGGUUAGAGCACUACCUUGACAUGGUAGAGGUCGGAGGUUCGAGUCCUCUUGCGAACAC